rnacentral:rRNA from 2 species
AUGGUUAAGUUAGAAAGGGCGCACGGUGAAUGCCUUGGCACUAGGAGCCGAUGAAGGACGGGACUAACACCGAUAUGCUUCGGGGAGCUGUAAGUGAGCUUUGAUCCGGAGAUUUCCGAAUGGGGAAACCCACUGUUCGUAAUGGAACAGUAUCUUUAUCUGAAUACAUAGGAUAUUGAAGGCAGACCCGGGGAACUGAAACAUCUAAGUACCCGGAGGAAGAGAAAGCAAAUGCGAUUUCCUGAGUAGCGGCGAGCGAAACGGAAUUAGCCCAAACCAAGAGGCUUGCCUCUUGGGGUUGUAGGACACUCUAUACGGAGUUACAAAGGAACGAAGUAAAUGAAGCGACCUGGAAAGGUCCGUCGAAGAAGGUAACAACCCUGUAGUUGAAACUUCGUUCCCUCUUGAGUGGAUCCUGAGUACGGCGGAACACGUGAAAUUCCGUCGGAAGCUGGGAGGACCAUCUCCCAAGGCUAAAUACUACCUAGUGACCGAUAGUGAACCAGUACCGUGAGGGAAAGGUGAAAAGCACCCCGGAAGGGGAGUGAAAGAGAUCCUGAAACCGUGUGCCUACAAGUAGUCAGAGCCCGUUAACGGGUGAUGGCGUGCCUUUUGUAGAAUGAACCGGCGAGUUACGAUCCCAUGCAAGGUUAAGCUGAUAAGGCGGAGCCGUAGCGAAAGCGAGUCUGAAUAGGGCGUUUAGUAUGUGGUUGUAGACCCGAAACCAGGUGAUCUACCCAUGUCCAGGGUGAAGUUCAGGUAACACUGAAUGGAGGCCCGAACCCACGCACGUUGAAAAGUGCGGGGAUGAGGUGUGGGUAGCGGAGAAAUUCCAAUCGAACCUGGAGAUAGCUGGUUCUCUCCGAAAUAGCUUUAGGGCUAGCCUCAUGUUGUGAGAGUCUUGGAGGUAGAGCACUGAUUGGACUAGGGGCCCCCAACGGGUUACCGAAUUCAGUCAAACUCCGAAUGCCAAAGACUUAUCCAUGGGAGUCAGACUGCGAGUGAUAAGAUCCGUAGUCAAAAGGGAAACAGCCCAGACCACCAGCUAAGGUCCCCAAGUAUACGUUAAGUGGAAAAGGAUGUGGAGUUGCUUAGACAACCAGGAUGUUGGCUUAGAAGCAGCCACCAUUUAAAGAGUGCGUAAUAGCUCACUGGUCGAGUGACUCUGCGCCGAAAAUGUACCGGGGCUAAACGUAUCACCGAAGCUGUGGAUUGACAUCUUUGAUGUCAGUGGUAGGAGAGCGUUCUAAGUGCUGUGAAGUCAGACCGUAAGGACUGGUGGAGCGCUUAGAAGUGAGAAUGCCGGUAUGAGUAGCGAAAGACAAGUGAGAAUCUUGUCCACCGAAUGCCUAAGGUUUCCUGAGGAAGGCUCGUCCGCUCAGGGUUAGUCGGGACCUAAGCCGAGGCUGAAAAGCGUAGGCGAUGGCCAACAGGUUGAUAUUCCUGUACCACCUCCCCGCCGUUUGAGUAAUGGGGGGACGCAGUAGGAUAGGGUAAGCGCGCUGCUGGAUAUGCGCGUUCAAGCAGUUAGGCUGAUGAGUAGGCAAAUCCGCUCAUCAUGAAGGCUGAGCUGUGAUGACGAGGGAAUUAUAGUACCGAAGUUCCUGAUUCCACACUGCCAAGAAAAGCCUCUAGCGAGGCGGGAGGUGCCCGUACCGCAAACCGACACAGGUAGGCGAGGAGAGAAUCCUAAGGUGAUCGAGAGAACUCUCGUUAAGGAACUCGGCAAAAUGACCCCGUAACUUCGGGAGAAGGGGUGCUCUGGUAGGGUGUAUAGCCCGAGAGAGCCGCAGUGAAUAGGCCCAGGCGACUGUUUAGCAAAAACACAGGUCUCUGCGAAGCCGCAAGGCGAAGUAUAGGGGCUGACGCCUGCCCGGUGCUGGAAGGUUAAGAGGAGGGGUUAUCCUUUGGGAGAAGCUCUGAAUCGAAGCCCCAGUAAACGGCGGCCGUAACUAUAACGGUCCUAAGGUAGCGAAAUUCCUUGUCGGGUAAGUUCCGACCCGCACGAAAGGCGUAACGAUCUGGGCACUGUCUCAACGAGAGACUCGGUGAAAUUAUAGUACCUGUGAAGAUGCAGGUUACCCGCGACAGGACGGAAAGACCCCGUGGAGCUUUACUGUAGCCUGAUAUUGAAUUUUGGUACAGCUUGUACAGGAUAGGUAGGAGCCUGAGAAGCCGGAGCGCUAGCUUCGGUGGAGGCGUCGGUGGGAUACUACCCUGGCUGUAUUGAAAUUCUAACCCGCGGCCCUGAUCGGGCCGGGAGACAGUGUCAGGUGGGCAGUUUGACUGGGGCGGUCGCCUCCUAAAAUGUAACGGAGGCGCCCAAAGGUUCCCUCAGAAUGGUUGGAAAUCAUUCGUAGAGUGUAAAGGCACAAGGGAGCUUGACUGCGAGACCUACAAGUCGAGCAGGGACGAAAGUCGGGCUUAGUGAUCCGGUGGUUCCGCAUGGAAGGGCCAUCGCUCAACGGAUAAAAGCUACCCCGGGGAUAACAGGCUUAUCUCCCCCAAGAGUCCACAUCGACGGGGAGGUUUGGCACCUCGAUGUCGGCUCAUCGCAUCCUGGGGCUGUAGUCGGUCCCAAGGGUUGGGCUGUUCGCCCAUUAAAGCGGUACGCGAGCUGGGUUCAGAACGUCGUGAGACAGUUCGGUCCCUAUCCGUCGUGGGCGUAGGAAAUUUGAGAGGAGCUGUCCUUAGUACGAGAGGACCGGGAUGGACACACCGCUGGUGUACCAGUUGUCUUGCCAAAGGCAUCGCUGGGUAGCUAUGUGUGGACGGGAUAAGUGCUGAAAGCAUCUAAGCAUGAAGCCCCCCUCAAGAUGAGAUUUCCCAUAGCGCAAGCUAGUAAGAUCCCUGAAAGAUGAUCAGGUUGAUAGGUCAGAGGUGGAAGCGUGGCGACAUGUGUAGCUGACUGAUACUAAUCGAUCGAGGACUUAACCAAA